GUGCAUUGUAGUUGCAUUGCACGUCUGCUUUCACCGUGCAGUGUUUCCGCUCUGCAACG
ensembl:miRNA gmo-mir-33b-2 gmo-mir-33b-2